UACGUAGGGGGCAAGCGUUGUCCGGAAUCAUUGGGCGUAAAGCGCGUGUAGGCGGCCCGGUAAGUCCGCUGUGAAAGUCGGGGGCUCAACCCUCGAAUGCCGGUGGAUACUGUCGGGCUAGAGUGCGGAAGAGGCGAGUGGAAUUCCUGGUGUAGCGGUGAAAUGCGCAGAUAUCAGGAAGAACACCCGUGGCUAAGGCGGCUCUCUAGUACGGUACUGACGCUGAGACGCGAAAGCGUGGGGAGCGAACAGG
rnacentral:rRNA from 1 species